GAUGAACGCUGGCGGCGUGCCUAAUACAUGCAAGUCGAGCGAACAGACGAGGAGCUUGCUCCUCUGACGUUAGCGGCGGACGGGUGAGUAACACGUGGAUAACCUACCUAUAAGACUGGGAUAACUUCGGGAAACCGGAGCUAAUACCGGAUAAUAUAUUGAACCGCAUGGUUCAAUAGUGAAAGACGGUUUUGCUGUCACUUAUAGAUGGAUCCGCGCCGCAUUAGCUAGUUGGUAAGGUAACGGCUUACCAAGGCAACGAUGCGUAGCCGACCUGAGAGGGUGAGCCGCCACACUGGAACUGAGACACGGUCCAGACUCCUACGGGAGGCAGCAGUAGGGAAUCUUCCGCAAAGGGCGAAAGCUUGACGGAGCAACGCCGCGUGAGUGAUGAAGGUCUUCGGAUCGUAAAACUCUGUUAUUAGGGAAGAACAAAUGUGUAAGUAACUAUGCACGUCUUGACGGUACCUAAUCAGAAAGCCACGGCUAACUACGUG
rnacentral:rRNA from 1 species